rnacentral:tRNA from 1 species
GGGCCCUUAGCUCAGCUGGCUAGAGCGCCUCGCUUGCAACGAGGAGGCCAAGGGUUCGAGUCCCUUAGGGUCCA